rnacentral:lncRNA from 1 species
GUGGGAGCUGCCCACUCAGCCUGGGACUCCCAGGGCUGCAGCCGCCCGCCCGCCCGCCACGCCUGCGCUCGGGCCAGCCCCCUCCCAGCGCUUUGGAGGAGGGCUGGGAGAGCUCAGCCCGCGGUCAGCUCCGGGGUCAGCGCAGUGUCUUGCGUUAGCGAGAGGAAGCCCCAAGUGCCCUCACUGCCCCUCCACCAAGGAGCCCAGGCCCCACGUCACGCCCCGGAGAAGAGGACCCUUCCCCUCCCCGUGGGUGCGACCCUUCCCCUCCCUGUGGGUGCGACCCUUCCCCUCCCCGUGGGUGCGACCCUUCCCCUCCCCGUGGGUGCCGCCCCUUCCCCUCCCCGUGGGUGCCACACAUUCUCACCGGGCUGCUCCAGGAGAGUCAGUGCCCCGAGUGGCCUGGCGGAGAGAGCCUGGCUGCGUGACACCCCAGGGACUCUAGACCUCAGGGAACCCCAGAGGCCAGUCCCUGCAGCGGAGGGAAGGAGGGCACGGUAGGCAGGGACACACCUAGGCCUCUGCUGCGUCUCCCGGCUCUGGCCACUCGGGGCAGCCCUGCCGUGGCUGGCGUGUGCCCGCCUCACCUGUGUCAAGGCCACACCUGCUGCUUGUCAAUGGCCUCAGAGGAAGCCUUCUUGUCCCCACAGGGGCGUCACCACGGAGCCCCUGAUGUAAGGACUUCCCACACUGCUCAUUGCCACCCACAGCUCAUGGCCUGCCUAGGACCAUGGGGGCCAGGACAGUGUCCAUUCUGCAAAGCCAGUGGGCACCACUCUGGGCGCUGUCCUGAGACAUUGCCGGGUGGGUUCUGCAGGACACCCUGGAGCGUGGCCCCUCUGUGUGUGGCCUUGCUGCAGACCCCUUUAAACAGCUGGGCGUGGAGUCCAGUGUGGGAGUGUUGGGUCUGAAGGUUGGGAGCUGCCUUCUGUGGAGGUGAAGGAAGGCGUGGGCAGGGACUGUCCCCAUGUCAAGGCUCCCUGGGUUCUUGUGGUUGUCCCUCAACAAGCAUUUGCUGAGCACCAACUGUGUACCUGGAGUUGCUGUGGGUGAUGCAGCCAAGGCGAACAGACAUGGCUGUCCUGAAGGGGACAAGCCCGAGGCGGUUCUGGGGGCUGGCCCAGGGGGCUGCAGGCUCUGCAGGAGGGCAGCCAUGGGGCCUGGGCAGCCCUGCCCUGCUGCAGAGGGAGUGCCGGCCAUGUGGCACGUCCUGGCUGGGGUCGUCCUGUGGGGGUGGCCCACCCUCUGGCUCCUAAGAUGGCCAGGCAUGGGGUUGACAUGGGCCCCUGGCAGGGCUCCUGAGCCUUGGCCUGCUGCCCAGCCAAGGCCUCACCGGCUGUGCAGUGCCCUCGGGCGCCCUGGGCUGUGGGACAGUUCCCAGGGGCGAGGAGGCAGCGGGGGACCUUGGCCUCUCUGCUGCUGGCUCAUCUGCGUGACACUGAGAGAAAACACCCCUGAGAGGCCCGUGUCUGUCGGCCCUGCGCCAUGUCACCUCCGGGAACAGUGCCGUGUGCAUUUCGUGCUCACAGAUGUGGAUGCUGAGGCUGCCCACUCGGGGCUUCAGCAGCUGGGCACUGACCAUCCCGGGAUGGGGCAGGGUCGGUGCACCGGCAGGAUGAGACGCCUGGGCCUGGGGAUCGUGCAGAUCUCCAGGGGCCUGUGGCCAGCCAGGAAAACCUGGGUGGGGCUGUGGAGCACAUCAGGACCCACAGAGUGGACUCCAGACCCAGGCCAGUGGGCCUGAGGCCAGGGCCCCUACCCGCUGGGCCUUGGCUUCCUCACCUGCCCAGGGUGGGGUUGAAACGCAGCGAUGUGCACAGAGAGCUCGGGGCGGAGGUGCGAGGUGGGGACUCUGGCCACGCUGACACCCAUCAUUGCUGGUCAGGGCCCAGGGGAGCCUCCCAGCUCGUGACCCGCAGAGGCCACGGCAGGUCUGGAGGGAGCACAGCCAGUCCAACAGGCGCCCACAGAAACCAGAGGCCCCUCCCUGGAGGGUUCUGGAACCCCAGGCCAGGAGUACUGGGCUGUGGCCAGUUCCUGGCUGGGCAGGGCGGGCUGGGAACUGCGCCGACGGG